rnacentral:rRNA from 1 species
AGCGAACGCUGGCGGCAGGCUUAACACAUGCAAGUCGAGCGGGCACUUUCGGGUGUCAGCGGCGGACGGGUGAGUAACGCGUGGGAACGUGCCCUCUGGUUCGGAAUAACUCAGGGAAACUUGAGCUAAUACCGGAUACGCCCUUUUGGGGAAAGGCUUGCUGCCGGAGGAUCGGCCCGCGUCUGAUUAGCUAGUUGGUGAGGUAACGGCUCACCAAGGCGACGAUCAGUAGCUGGUCUGAGAGGAUGAUCAGCCACACUGGGACUGAGACACGGCCCAGACUCCUACGGGAGGCAGCAGUGGGGAAUAUUGGACAAGGGGCGCAAGCCUGAUCCAGCCAGGCCGCGUGAGUGAUGAAGGCCUUAGGGUUGUAAAGCUCUUUUAUCCGGGACGAUAAUGACGGUACCGGAGGAAUAAGCCCCGGCUAACUUCGU